UGUCAGAGAAGAAGAUUAAUGGUCC
rnacentral:piRNA from 1 species